rnacentral:rRNA from 1 species
GACGAACGCUGGCGGCGUGCCUAAUACAUGCAAGUAGAACGCGGAAGGAGGAGCUUGCUUCUCUGGAUGAGUUGCGAACGGGUGAGUAACGCGUAGGUAACCUGCCUGGUAGCGGGGGAUAACUAUUGGAAACGAUAGCUAAUACCGCAUAAUAGUAGAUGUCGCAUGACAUUUGCUUAAAAGGUGCAAUUGCAUCACUACCAGAUGGACCUGCGUUGUAUUAGCUAGUUGGUGAGGUAACGGCUCACCAAGGCAACGAUACAUAGCCGACCUGAGAGGGUGAUCGGCCACACUGGUACUGAGACACGGCCCAGACUCCUACGGGAGGCAGCAGUAGGGAAUCUUCGGCAAUGGAUGGAAGUCUGACCGAGCAACGCCGCGUGAGUGAAGAAGGUUUUCGGAUCGUAAAGCUCUGUUGUAAGAGAAGAACGAGGGUGAGAGUGGAAAGUUCACACUGUGACGGUAUCUUACCAGAAAGGUACGGCUAACUACGUG